AAUAGAUACCCAGGUAGUCCACGCCGUAAACGAUGGAUGCUAGCUGUUAUGCGUAUCGACCCGUGUAGUAGCGAAGCUAACGCGUUAAGCAUCCCGCCUGGGGAGUACGAACGCAAGUUUAAAACUCAAAGGAAUUGACGGGGACCCGCACAAGCGGUGGAGCGUGUUCUUUAAUUCGAGGCUAAGCGAAGAACCUUACCAGGGCUUGACAUCCUUGGAAUUUCUCCGAAAGGAGAGAGUACUUUAUUGGACCAAGUGACAGGUGCUGCAUGGCCGUCGUCAGCUCGUGUCGUGAGAUGUUUGGUUAAGUCCAUUAACGAGCGCAACCCUUAUGAAUAGUUGUAUUUUUCUAUUCAGACUGCCCCGGUAACGGGGAGGAAGGGGGGAUGAUGUCAGGUCAGUAUUGCCCUUACGCCCUGGGCUAGAAACGCGCUACAAUGGCCGGUACAAUGCGCUGCCAACCCGCGAGGGGAGCAAAUCGCAUCAAAGCCGGUCCCAGUUCGGAUAAGAGGCUGAAACUCGCCUCUUUGAAGCCGGAAUCGCUAGU
rnacentral:rRNA from 1 species